UUUCCGGGGUGUUAACUGGCCUAAACGGACAGAACCCCGAGGGCACGAGGGAAGCAUCAAGGAGGAGGGGCUGGGCCUGAGCCUUUACGAUGAGAAAAAUUCGCGCGUGUAUCAUCCCCUGCUUUGGUGCAUAAACCACCUUGCUCCCCCUCAGUGACGUGGUUGCCGCUCCAUGUAUUCUAUUUAUCACAGUUCAAGUCAGUCAUUGAGCGAGGAAGAUGAAUACACACCAAGAAGGCGGAUCAUCUCUCGCUCCGUGUUGUAUCUUAAUAAUUUCAGCCGCCAAGAAUCUGACGAGACUAAAUGCGGGCAGUAAACUUAACGUCGAUCAUCGAGUUAACUCCCUCUACUCGCCAGACAGGCAAUCCCCGUUUUGCUGUUGGCUCUAUAUGUGCAAGGUUCCGAGAGAAGAACCUUUCGAAGCAUCAAUACUCUGAUUCCAUGGCAUACUCACGAUUUGGAAGUAAAAAAUGUAACAAGGUUUCCGUAGGUGAACCUGCGGAAGGAUCAUUAUUGAUUUUAUUUAUUUUUGUGGAUUUUUAUUUUAUUACAGCGUCAUUUUAUUUCAAUUAUAACUAUCAACAACGGAUCUCUUGGCUCUCACAUCGAUGAAGAACGCAGCGAACCGCGAUAUUUUUUGUGACUUGCAGAUGUGAAUCAUCAAUCUUUGAACGCACAUUGCGCGGUAUGGCAUUCCGUACCGCACGGAUGGAGGAGCGUGUUCCCUUUGGGAUCGCAAUGCUUUCCUGAAAUGGAUUUUUUUAAACUCUCAAUUAUUACGUCAUUCACCAGGUGAUUCAAGGUACCGAGCUUGU
rnacentral:rRNA from 1 species